UAUGGAUUCCUCCUGGAUGUUGCUCAGCAAGAACUAACAUUAGCUAUUGCUGCAUCUAAUCAUGUUGACGUCCCGGGGGAAUUAAUAAGGGGUCUGCAGGAGCUAAUAAACCUUAUUAAUUUCUCUCAGCGUUCAGAAGAAUCUUCAGUGAAUUUAUCUGAGAUUGUAACUAUCACCUCCAGUAACUUUUGGACGUCCACGUUUGGAUAUCCACAGGGAUGAGCUUAAAGAACUUCUCUCUACUGCUCUUCCUGCAGAAACUCUUGCAGAGCUCUGUGGUGUUUCUAGACGAACACUUCACAGAAGACUGAAGGAUAUUUGGUGGGAUUGAUGGUUUCUCCAGGAGGGUAAUGUCAAAGUCUGAAUAUGAAUUGAGCGUCUAUGGUGCGAUGUUUCUUCAGCUGUCUCUUCUGGUGGAGCAGCUUCUUCAAGAGGAAACUGUAGACAGUGACACAGAGGAUGAUGGUGUGGUGGUGCCAGAGAUCUGCUGUCCUUUAUCAGACCAAAAACUCACUGUUCUGCAUGGAUUGAUCAAUCCUUUGACGUCACAUUGAAUGAGCGGGCGCUAUAUCUACAGACACUUGAUGUCAU